UACGGGGGGGGCAAGCGUUGUUCGGAAUUACUGGGCGUAAAGGGUCUGUAGGUGGCUUGCUAAGUCAGACGUGAAAUCCCUCAGCUUAACUGGGGAACUGCGUCUGAGACUGGCGAGCUUGAGUGCAGGAGAGGAACGCGGAAUUCCAGGUGUAGCGGUGAAAUGCGUAGAUAUCGAGAGGAACACCAGUGGCGAAGGCGAGUCCCUGGACAACACCUGACACUGAGGCACGAAAGCUAGGGGAGCAAACAGG
rnacentral:rRNA from 1 species